GGGGUCGGCUGUAGGGAACGGAGGAGGAUGGUUGCGCCACCAUACGUGCUUCCACGACUGCCUACACCACUUCUCGUCUUCCUCCUAGCCAAAAUCAUGCCUAAAGGGUUGUACAGGGUUUGGGCUGGAGCAUUGGAGCUCCGACGCUUGCGCCGCUGUGCCCCAAAGUCGUGAAAUGGCUUCUACUGGAUUCUAGAAAAUAAUAAGCAAGCCAAGUGACUGAUUUUUGUAGACAGAUGUUCACAGGGCUAGAAGGUUAAGCCAGGAACAACCUUAGUUGAGCCAUUACUGCAUAAAUAUGAAGGUAGUGAGAAUGACAGUGGAGCUUGAGAAAUCUUUUACGGAAGGGAUUUACAGCCAUAAUCAAUGGUCAUCAAAUUGUACCACAUGAGACAUAUCUCCAUUUCAUAGAUCUUGCUGAAAAUAUUAGGUGGCUGAAUUUACCGACAAGAAGCCACGGGGCAGUGCGGACAAGAAUCAGCAGGGGCGGCGGUUCUCCGCCUAGAGGAGUUAGAUGGGAGAGGAAGGAGGGCGGCGACAGGAGGGAAGAGCAGGUGGCCUUGGUUCAUGGAGAAUGACUGAUGCCCAUCCGGAU